UGACUAUAUGUUUAACGGCCGCGGUAUUUUGACCGUGCGAAGGUAGCGUAAUCACUUGUCUUUUAAAUGGAGACCUGUAUGAAUGGCAUAACGAGGGCUUAACUGUCUCCUCUUUCCAGUCAAUGAAAUUGAUCUCCCCGUGCAGAAGCGGGGAUAAAUACAUAAGACGAGAAGACCCUAUGGAGCUUUAGACACCAAGACAGACCAUGUUAAGAACCCCACAAACUAAAGGCCUGAACUUAAUGACCACCUGUCCUAAUGUCUUCGGUUGGGGCGACCAUGGGGUAGCACAAAACCCCCAUGUGGAAUGGGAGAACAAUCCCAACAAUCUCUUUCCCAUACUCCCACAAGCAAGAGCUACAACUCUAGCUAACAGAAUUUCUGACCUAUCAUGAUCCGGUACCCACCGAUCAACGAA
rnacentral:rRNA from 1 species